rnacentral:rRNA from 1 species
UACGUGAGGUGGCAAGCGUUAUCCGGAAUUAUUGGGCGUAAAGCGCGCGCAGGCGGUUUCUUAAGUCUGAUGUGAAAGCCCACGGCUCAAACCGUGGGAGGGUCAUUGGAAACUGGGGAACUUGAGUGCAGAAGAGAAAAGCGGAAUUCCACGUGUAGCGGUGGAAUGCGUAGAGAUGUGGAGGAACACCAGUGGCGAAGGCGGCUUUUUGGUCUGUAACGUGACGCUGGAGGCGCGAAAGCGCGGGGAGCAAACA